AACGAACGCUGGCGGCAGGCCUAACACAUGCAAGUCGAGCGCCCCGCAAGGGGAGCGGCGGACGGGUGAGUAACGCGUGGGAACGUGCCCUCUGCUACGGAAUAGCCCCGGGAAACUGGGAGUAAUACCGUAUAAGCCCUACGGGGGAAAGAUUUAUCGGCAAAGGAUCGGCCCGCGUUGGAUUAGGUAGUUGGUGGGGUAAUGGCCUACCAAGCCGACGAUCCAUAGCUGGUUUGAGAGGAUGAUCAGCCACACUGGGACUGAGACACGGCCCAGACUCCUACGGGAGGCAGCAGUGGGGAAUCUUAGACAAUGGGCGCAAGCCUGAUCUAGCCAUGCCGCGUGAGCGAUGAAGGCCUUAGGGUUGUAAAGCUCUUUCGUGGGGGAAGAUAAUGACUGUACCCCAAGAAGAAGCCCCGGCUAACUCCGUGCCAGCCGCCGCGGUAA
rnacentral:rRNA from 1 species